GCCCGGAUGGUGGAAUUGGUAGACACGCUAGCUUCAGGUGCUAGUGAGCGUACGUUCAUGGGGGUUCAAGUCCCCCUUCGGGCA
rnacentral:tRNA from 1 species